rnacentral:rRNA from 1 species
GACGAACGCUGGCGGCGUGCCUAACACACGCAAGUCGAGCGAAUGAAGUUCCUUCGGGAAUGGAUUUAGCGGCGGACGGGUGAGUAACACGUGGGCAACCUGCCUCAUAGAGGGGAAUAGCCUUCCGAAAGGGAGAUUAAUACCGCAUAAGAUUGUAGUACCGCAUGGUACAGCAAUUAAAGGAGCAAUCCGCUAUGAGAUGGGCCCGCGGCGCAUUAGCUAGUUGGUGAGGUAACGGCCCACCAAGGCGACGAUGCGUAGCCGACCUGAGAGGGUGAUCGGCCACAUUGGGACUGAGACACGGCCCAGACUCCUACGGGAGGCAGCAGUGGGGAAUAUUGCACAAUGGGGGAAACCCUGAUGCAGCAACGCCGCGUGAGUGAUGACGGCCUUCGGGUUGUAAAGCUCUGUCUUCAGGGACGAUAAUGACGGUACCUGAGGAGGAAGCCACGGCUAACUACGUGCCAGCCGCCGCCGUAAUAC